CCUAGUUUUGAAAAAAUACAUUUGUAUUUUUAAUAGUUCUAGUUAUAGAGGUUAGUGGUAUUAUGAGUAAUUGGUCAUCAUACUAAAACAAUUACCUAACAAGCUAUUUUAAGAUUAAAUUUACAUUAUGAUCCAUUUACCCUAACAUGGAACUAGUAAUUGUAGUUUUCUGAUAAUAUAUUGACACUAUUCUAUAAAAAUAAAUAAAUAAAUAAAUCUGUCACACAAUUUCCGCAAAAAUCGCCAUUUUCAUCUCGCAUUUCUCGCGAUAUUAGUUCGAAACGCGGUAACUUUGACAACCCCGCUACAUAAAACCCACCACCUCUUUCUUUUUCACUGCUGUAGACUACACUAUGAAGUACAGUAAAAGCACUAUGAAUCAAACUCUCGAAACAAACCUAUAUUACUUACUCAGACGCUGUGACACCAGGUGAACGCCUCUUGAGUCUGAAACGCGUUUGUGAUGCGUGAUUCUGCGUUUCACGCUUUAAAGUCCAGCACUUAAACACGAAUUUCGAGUAAAGUAUCUCAAUCGAUGUUUGUGCCAGCAAACAAAAGCCUCCAUCUGUAAAACAACAGGUGUCUCCCGCCCCUAGCCACACCCGCGCUCGGAAAUUGUUCUUCCUCCUCAGAAUGAGAGGAUUGUCAAACCCGAAAAAGCAAGUCAAGCCCGUUUCUGAAAGAGAGGCUUUAAAUUGAGAAGGGUCUGGGGGAGAUGAGGGUACAACUCCCAACUGUUUCAGACAUGCGCCCACAUAUGCAUCUUCUAUGUUAAAGGCCUUUACUUCCUUGGAAGCCUCAAC